rnacentral:lncRNA from 1 species
UAAAAUCAAAAAAAAAUCUCCUUAUAAAGAAAAUAUUGAUUUUGAUAGUGCUGGGCUUUUGAUUGAUAAAUACUGGAAGGAUGCUCGUGGCUUAGCAUAUUUAGGAGGAAUAUGCUCAUAUAAAUCAGUAUACUUUGCUCAAUGGUACUAUGAAAGCAUAAGCGAAACAACUAUUUUAAUUGGUCAUGAAUUUGGGCAUACUAUGGGAUUUGAACAUGAUA